rnacentral:rRNA from 1 species
UUUUACAGCCAUAUCACCCUGCAGCCCAAGACUGGUUGCCCACUGAAGCUAAGCAGGGUUGAGCCUGGUCAGUACCUGGAUGGGAGACCUCCUGGGAAAACUAGGUUGCUGUUGGAA